rfam:Daucus carota subsp. sativus cultivar DH1 chromosome 3, whole genome shotgun sequence.
AAAACGCGAUGAAGAAUUUUGAAAUUAUUCACAUGUCAGACUUCAGAGAUUAUCUAUUAGAUGAUCAAUGAGAAGUAAAUUUCAUUUUCCUGAGCCUUGU